rnacentral:rRNA from 1 species
GACGAACGCUGGCGGCGUGCUUAACACAUGCAAGUCGAACGGAAAGGCCCUGCUUUUGUGGGGUGCUCGAGUGGCGAACGGGUGAGUAACACGUGAGUAACCUGCCCUUGACUUUGGGAUAACUUCAGGAAACUGGGGCUAAUACCGGAUAGGAGCUCCUGCUGCAUGGUGGGGGUUGGAAAGUUUCGGCGGUUGGGGAUGGACUCGCGGCUUAUCAGCUUGUUGGUGGGGUAGUGGCUUACAAAGGCUUUGACGGGUAGCCGGCCUGAGAGGGUGACCGGCCACAUUGGGACUGAGAUACGGCCCAGACUCCUACGGGAGGCAGCAGUGGGGAAUAUUGCACAAUGGGCGGAAGCCUGAUGCAGCAACGCCGCGUGCGGGAUGACGGCCUUCGGGGUGUAAACCGCUUUCGCCGGUGACGAAGCGUGAGUGACGGUAAUGGGUAAAGAAGCACCGGCUAACUACGUG